rnacentral:rRNA from 1 species
UUUAAUUGAAGAGUUUGAUCAUGGCUCAGAUUGAACGCUGGCGGCAGGCCUAACACAUGCAAGUCGGGCGGUAACAGGGAGAAGCUUGCUUCUCCGCUGACGAGCGGCGGACGGGUGAGUAAUGUAUGGGGAUCUGCCUGAUGGCGGGGGAUAACUACUGGAAACGGUAGCUAAUACCGCAUAAUGUCUUCGGACCAAAGC